AGAGUUUGAUCCUGGCUCAGAACGAACGCUGGCGGCAGGCUUAACACAUGCAAGUCGAGCGCCCCGCAAGGGGAGCGGCAGACGGGUGAGUAACGCGUGGGAAUCUACCCAUCUCUACGGAACAACUCCGGGAAACUGGAGCUAAUACCGUAUACGUCCUUCGGGAGAAAGAUUUAUCGGAGAUGGAUGAGCCCGCGUUGGAUUAGCUAGUGGUGGGGUAAUGGCCUACCAAGGCGACGAUCCAUAGCUGGUCUGAGAGGAUGAUCAGCCACACUGGGACUGAGACACAGCCCAGACUCCUACGGGAGGCAGCAGUGGGGAAUAUUGGACAAUGGGCGAAAGCCUGAUCCAGCCAUGCCGCGUGAGUGAUGAAGGCCCUAGGGUUGUAAAGCUCUUUCAACGGUGAAGAUAAUGACGGUAACCGUAGAAGAAGCCCCGGCUAACUUCGUGCCAGCAGCCGCGGUAAU
rnacentral:rRNA from 1 species